rnacentral:rRNA from 1 species
UACCAGCUCUCCGAGUGGUGUGGAUGUUUAUUGGGCCUAAAGCAUCCGUAGCUGGCUGGACAAGUCCCCUGUUAAAUCCACCGAUUUAAUCGUUGGAGUGCGGGGGAUACUGUUCGGCUAGGGGACGGGAGAGGCAGACGGUAUUUUCGGGGUAGGGGUGAAAUCCUAUAAUCCCGGGAAGACCACCAGUGGCGAAGGCUGUCUGCUAGAACGCGCCCGACGGUGAGGGAUGAAAGCUGGGGGAGCGAACCGGAUUAGAUACCCGGGUAGUCCCAGCUGUAAACGAUGCAGGCUAGGUGUUUGGGCGGCCACGUGCCGCUCUAGUGCCGCAGGGAAGCCGUUAAGCCUACCGCCUGGGGAGUACGGCCGCAAGGCUGAAACUUAAAGGAAUUGGCGGGGAGCACCACAAGGGGUGAAGCUUGCGGUUU